rnacentral:lncRNA from 1 species
UAGUUAAUUUCUAGAAUAUAGUAAGUCAUCAUUUUACUUGUGGAAAAUUUUAUAAGUAACUACAUUCUAUCAAUAUUUAUUUCAAAUUAGAUGUUUUCAUGUCGUUGAGCCUAAAAUAAUUUUUGAAACUAAGCUGCCUAGAGAUUUGCUUAAUUCACUGCUCCUAUUAAAUGAUACAUUCAAGGAUGGCAUAUAAUAAUUGAUUGAAAAACAAUUGUGUUAUUAUUACUUCUAAAUUAUUAUUAUAUAAUCAAUAGCCCCCAUGGUUUUAAAGUACUUUUUUAAA